GCCGAGGUGGCGGAAUUGGCAAACGCGCAGGGCUUAGGACCCUGUGGGAUUUUCCCUUGUGGGUUCAAAUCCCACCCUCGGUA
rnacentral:tRNA from 1 species